rnacentral:rRNA from 1 species
GUACGUAGGUGGCGAGCGUUGUCCGGAAUUACUGGGUGUAAAGGGCGUGUAGGCGGGGCGUCAAGUCAGGUGUGAAAAUCCGAGGCUUAACUUCGGGUGUGCAUCUGAAACUGAUGUUCUUGAGUGUCGGAGAGGAAAGUGGAAUUCCCAGUGUGGCGGUGAAAUGCGUAGAGAUUGGGAGGAACACCAGUGGCGAAGGCGGCUUUCUGGACGAUAACUGACGCUGAGGCGCGAAAGCGUGGGUAGCAAACAGGAUUAGAUACCCUGGUAGUCCACGCUGUAAACGAUGGAUACUAGGUGUAGGAGGUAUCGACCCCUUCUGUGCCGGAGUUAACACAAUAAGUAUCCCACCUGGGGAGUACGGCCGCAAGGUUGAA